rnacentral:rRNA from 1 species
CCUACGGGUGGCAGCAGUGGGGAAUAUUGGGCAAUGGGCGCAAGCCUGACCCAGCAACGCCGCGUGAAGGAAGAAGGCUCUCGGGUUGUAAACUUCUUUUAUCAGGGACGAAACAAGUGACGGUACCUGAUGAAUAAGCCACGGCUAACUACGGGCCAGCAGCCGCGGUAAUACGUAGGUGGCAAGCGUUAUCCGGAUUUACUGGGUGUAAAGGGCGUGUAGGCGGGAAAGCAAGUCAGAUGUGAAAACCAUGGGCUCAACCUGUGGCCUGCAUUUGAAACUGUUUUUCUUGAGUACUGGAGAGGCAGGCGGAAUUCCUAGUGUAGCGGUGAAAUGCGUAGAUAUUAGGAGGAACACCGGUGGCGAAGGCGGUCUGCUGGACAGCAACUGACGCUGAGGCGCGAAGGCGUGGGGAGCAAACAGGAUUAGAUACCCUGGUAGUC